GACGAACGCUGGCGGCGUGCUUAACACAUGCAAGUCGAACGGUAAGGCCCUUCGGGGUACACGAGUGGCGAACGGGUGAGUAACACGUGGGUGAUCUGCCCUGCACUUCGGGAUAAGCCUGGGAAACUGGGUCUAAUACCGGAUAGGACCACUGCCUGCAUGGGUGGUGGUGGAAAGCAUUUGCGGUGUGGGAUGGGCCCGCGGCCUAUCAGCUUGUUGGUGGGGUGACGGCCUACCAAGGCGACGACGGGUAGCCGGCCUGAGAGGGUGACCGGCCACACUGGGACUGAGAUACGGCCCAGACUCCCACGGGAGGCAGCAGUGGGGAAUAUUGCACAAUGGGCGCAAGCCUGAUGCAGCGACGCCGCGUGAGGGAUGACGGCCUUCGGGUUGUAAACCUCUUUCAGCACCGACGAAGCGCAAGUGACGGUAGGUGCAGAAGAAGGACCGGCCAACUACGUGCCAGCAGCCGCGGUAA
rnacentral:rRNA from 1 species